ensembl:lncRNA
CAAUACAACAUAAUUAUUUGACUGGAGCUACUUGACUUCAGUGCGAGUGGGUGAUGGAUCUACAGUGUGUCAGACUGUGGAUAUGUACUGUAUAAACAUCUAUAGUUCAUGCAGCAGGGAGAGGGGCACAGUGUUUGACAGUAAAGUGUGUCUCCCUCUUGUCUUUGACCAUCAACUCCUGUAUAUGGAGUGGAAACGUAAUCAUGGACCUGAGCCCUAGGACCAUGCCUCAGAACUACCUGGCAUGAUGACUCCUUGCUGUCCCCAGUCCACCUGGCCGUGCUGCUGCUCCAGUUUCAACUGUUCUGGCUGUGGCUAUGGAAUCCUAACGUGUUCACCGGACAUGCUACCUGUCCCAGACCUGCUGUUUUCAACUCUCUAGAGACAGCAGGAGCGGUAGAGAUACUCUGAAUGAUCGGCUAUGAAAAGCCAACUGACAUUUACUCCUGAGGUGCUGACCUGUUACACCCUCGACAACCACUGUGAUUAUUAUUUGACCCUGCCGGUCAUCUAUGAACAUUUGAACAUCUCAGCCAUGCUCUGUUAUAAUCUCCAUCCCGCACAGCCAGAAGAGGACUGGUGAACCCUCAUAGCCUGGUUCCUCUCUAGGUUUCUUCCUAGGUUCUGGCCUUUCUAGGGAGUUUCUAGCCACCGUGCUUUUACACCUGCAUUGCUUGCUGUUUGGGGUUUUAGGCUGGGUUUCUGUACAGCACUUUGAUAUAUCAGCUGUAAGAAGGGCUUUAUAAAUACAUUUGAUUUGAAAAGUAUUCAUCCCCCUUGGUGUAAUUCCUUUUUGUUGCAUUACAACCUGUAAUUUAAACAGAUUUGUUUGGAUUUCAUGUAAUGGACAUAUUUCCAAAUGGGUGAAGUGAAAAAAAAUUACUUGUGUCAAAAAAAAAAAUGUAAAUGGGAAAGUGGUGCAUGCAUAUGUAUUCACCCCCUUUGCUAUGUAGCCCCUAAAUAAGAUAUGAUGCAACCAAUUACCAUCAGAAGUCACAUAGUUAAAGUACACCUGUGCGCAAUCUCAGUAAUAUAUAUAUACACACACACACACACACACACACACAGCUGUUCUGAAAGGCCCCAGAGUCUGCAAAUCCACUAAGCAAACAGCACCAUGAAGACCAAGGAGCUCUCCAAACAGGUCAGGGACAAAGUUGGAGAAGUAAAAAUAUCCACAACUUUGAACAUCCCACAGAGCACUAUUAAAUCCAUUAUUUAAAAAAAUGGAAAGAAUAUGGCACCACAACAAACCUGCCAAGAGAGGGCCGCCCACCAUCACUCACGGACCAGACAAGAAGAGCAUUAAUCAGAGAGGCAACAAAGAGACCAAAGAUAACACUGAAGGAGCUGCAAACCUCCCCAGCGGAGAUUGAAGUAAAGAAGCAAACAUUUGGUGUUCGCCAAAAGGCACGUGGGAGACUCUCCAAACAUAUGGAAGAAUGGUACUCCGGUCAGAUGAAACUAAAACUGAGCUUUUUGACCAUCAAGGAAAACAAUGUCUGGCACAAACCCAACACCUCAUCACCCCAA